AGUGAACGCUGGCGGUAGGCCUAACACAUGCAAGUCGAACGGCAGCACAGUAAGAGCUUGCUCUUACGGGUGGCGAGUGGCGGACGGGUGAGGAAUACAUCGGAAUCUACUUUUUCGUGGGGGAUAACGUAGGGAAACUUACGCUAAUACCGCAUACGACCUACGGGUGAAAGCAGGGGAUCUUCGGACCUUGCGCGAUUGAAUGAGCCGAUGUCGGAUUAGCUAGUUGGCGGGGUAAAGGCCCACCAAGGCGACGAUCCGUAGCUGGUCUGAGAGGAUGAUGAGCCACACUGGAACUGAGACACGGUCCAGACUCCUACGGGAGGCAGCAGUGGGGAAUAUGGGACAAUGGGCGCAAGCCUGAUCCAGCCAUACCGCGUGGGUGAAGAAGGCCUGCGGGUUGUAAAGCCCUUUUGUUGGGAAAGAAAAGCAGCAGGUUAAUACCCCGCUGUUCUGACGGUACCCAAAGAAUAAGCACCGGCUAACUUCGU
rnacentral:rRNA from 1 species